rnacentral:rRNA from 1 species
UGGGCGAAAGCCUGAUCCAGCAGCCGCGGUAAUUAUCACUAGUGAAUUCG